rnacentral:rRNA from 1 species
AUUGAACGCUGGCGGCAUGCUUUACACAUGCAAGUCGAACGGCAGCAUGGGCUUCGGCCUGAUGGCGAGUGGCGAACGGGUGAGUAAUGCAUCGGAACGUACCCAGUCGUGGGGGAUAACGUAGCGAAAGUUACGCUAAUACCGCAUACGACCUGAGGGUGAAAGCAGGGGAUCUUUGGACCUUGUGCGAUUGGAGCGGCCGAUGUCAGAUUAGCUAGUUGGUGGGGUAAAGGCCUACCAAGGCGACGAUCUGUAGCGGGUCUGAGAGGAUGAUCCGCCACACUGGGACUGAGACACGGCCCAGACUCCUACGGGAGGCAGCAGUGGGGAAUUUUGGACAAUGGGCGCAAGCCUGAUCCAGCCAUGCCGCGUGCGGGAAGAAGGCCUGGUGUAAG